rnacentral:sRNA from 1 species
AUGUACCCCGUCCACUCACUCCGGUUCCUCCGCGCCAUCCGCACCCACCUGACGACUGCGCACUACGUUUUGUUGGCC